UAGCCAUUAUAAUUUCCUCUGCUGUACACUGGGGAUGACUUAAAAAGCCUGGUUUAAAGCAGAUGUUAGCCUAUUUUGCAGAUGUAAAAUGGUCCACACUGUGAAAGGAUACUGAUCUUCCUCCAAAUUCUUCUCACCUGCAGUCAAUAAUGCAUACCGAGAAACCAGAUAAUAUCAGAACUAAAAUAAGAAACAUAAGUGACAGCUGCCUUUAAAAAUAAAAAAGGAAAAUACUUUUUUUCAACUGAUUCCUCAAGCAUCUUAUCACAGAGCUUUUCUUGCCCACGUGACCACUAAUAAAACCAUUAUUUACACAAAACACAAUCAGUGCAUGCUCUUUCAAUCGCCAAAUUUAAUUAACCUGUUCUGUAUCAUUUAGUUCCUGCAAUGUAACUUGUUCACACUGCAUAGCAAACGGGCAGUUCAAGAGGUUUGCACAGUAUGAUUAUUCUUAUUAGGGCUGAUCAAAAGCCAAGCGGUUUUGUGAGAUAUUUAACAUCCUUAUGCAUGCAAGUUGUUCUAAAUGCAAUUGAAAAUACUGUUAUAUUACUUGUGAAAAGACAUUACAAAAUGUGUGGUACUGAUGUGUCAAUAACAGUAAAGCACUUGUAGUAUUUUAAGUGUUUCUUUUGAUGCUCAAACAAAGCAGGAGGAGAUCUCAUGUUCACUAACCUGAGUCAUGAAGGUAUUAGAGUAAAAAUGUGAAGAGAAUAUUCAGCAAAAUGACUGUUAGCAAAGUACCUAAAUAUUUUGAAGAGUGUCAAUUUUUAAGGACUUCUACCAUUCUAGAGAAAGGGAAAAUCAAAGGUCCUGACACCCUCCUCCUCCAUUUGUUUCUUUUUGGUUAAUCACUUUGGGUUUCUUUACAGAUCAUGUCCAGACAGAGAAGAGUUAAUGUGGACCUUUUAAAGGGCAGUGUGGAGAUCUGUAUUGAGCUGUAAUUUUUCUUGGAGCCUCCAGCAUACGGAGCAGAACUUUGCAGAACUCCAAGAUAAAUGCAGCAAGAUUCCAGAUCAGGUACGACAAGGAAGCAUUUGCUGACCAUCUACUGGGGGAACCUUGGAGAAGAGCUUGCUCAGGGAAAGCAUACACUACGAAUUUGCAGCAUCUAUGCUAGUUGGAAGGAACCACUCAUUCCUGGAGAACAAGGCAGGAUCAGCCUCCAGAGAACUGCUGCACUGUAAUCAGGUGAGAACCAGCAAAGGUAAGAGCACAAAGACAGUGAACUUCAAAUCCAGCAACCUGUACAUACAGUGACAGAAGAGAGAGGUGUUUAUUUUGUCACUUUCACUGACUGUUGAUGCUCUAUUUACGUUCUUUUUUUCCUCCACUCAACACCUGCGGAGAUUUUCCUGGAAAAGUACCAACUGCAGAAACACAACUUGUCAAUGAAAUCCCUGACCAAACCUCACCACAAGCAUUAAUUAUACUAAUUAGAACUGCUGCCAGUGGAGAAUAAACAUCACAUGCAACUUAUCUCAAAGCAUCAGGUGAGCUCCUCAUUCAGUUUCAUCGGAAUGGGCAAUUACAUGUGACUUUUUCCAUCUAUACUCCCAGCCAUUCACUCCAGUAUUGCUCAGAACACACACAUCAAAUAAAAGAUUUGGUCACGGCUCUCUUGAGAAAGUUUGAGCACUUAAAUGCACAGCAGAUGGAAUCACACUUACUACCAAGUGUAAUUUUCCAUGCUUUACUACUUUAACUUAGAUUAUGUGUAUUCAUCGUGAUUUCAAAGCAAGAAAGACCUGCUGAAGUCAACUGAGGCCUAUAUAUUGGUUCUGUUCAUCUUGCAGGUAUGAAGAAUUCCCAUCAGAAUCCUGUACCAAAGGAGAAGGUAAACAAAGACGUGCAAAGAAAGGAACAACUUGGAGACAUCACAUGACAUGAAACCUACAUUUCUGUGCAAGAAUUUUAUGUUUCAUUUCUUAAAUGUGUGUCUUUUACUUUAUUUAAGUGUUUUAAAAAUAAUAAUAGUUAUUUAAUAAUAAGAAGUGAUUUUCAUACUUAGAGAUAGAGCCAUAAAGUCACUUUCCAUCUUUAAAUCCAUACUUACAUGUGCACACAUGGACACACACAUCAUAGCAAUUUCUCUAAUAAGCAGCCUGAACUUUCAGCUGAACCAACAUUCCAGUCACGAUGUCACUGAAAUAGCAGUGUUGGACUAACCACAUGUGGUAUCAGAAAUUAAAAUUGACUUUGGAAAUCUGGCAAGAUCCUUCCAAGAGCUGACAGAAUUGCAUGUUAUUAUCAGUCAUCUAGUCUGAAUUCCAGGAAUCUUGGGGAAUUUACCCUAUGCAAGAUAGACUGAAUUCUUUUUGAGUUUUUUACAAACCCACGGUGUUUUUAAACUUUAAAGCUGCAUCUGUGUUUUGCUUUGUACAUCCUCUUUAUUCUUAUAUGUCUGCUAGCUCUCUAUGUGCCCCCAAAAUUUCAAAAUACCAUUGCAUAACCUUCAAUAACCAUUUUGGUUGAGAAAAAUAGCAGUUAAGUGAUCAGAUAAAAAUGUAGUAUCAAGUAAGUAAUAACAAAAGUUAUAUAAACCCUGUGUUUUUGAGGUAUGUUUUGCUUCAAGAUGAUUUUGUUUGAUACAGAACUAUAAAAAACACCUCACCAACCCCCACACCUGUCUGUUUUUCUGUAUCAGCUUUUCUGUGAUCCUGCUGUGACUCCAUGGACAGAAGUCUCAUCCUCAGCUUAAUGACAUGGAAAACUAAAAAGAUAUCCCCAAACACUGCUUUUCAAAAAGACUGCCUUAUCAAGUGAAAUAAAUUAUAAAUAUUCCCUAAACUAUUAGAAUUUAUUUGGAAUGAUAUCUCCACUCUUGCAUUUGGCAUACAGUCCACUUGCUCCUUCCAUCUCCAAACAACAAUGUUAGUUAGAAUUAAUAAGUACUGGUUAUGAUCCAGCCUAUUAACGUAGCAAGAUCGAUCCAUGGGGUGUUUUAUAGCUUGUUAAAAUUUUAUUAGCUAAAGCAGAUCAUCAGUAAAAACUGUUUAAUUGGCUAAUUGCUACAGCUGUUUCUGUCAGUGAUGCUUGUGAUUCUUUCCAUGUAUACAAUAAUGUCUACUGAAAAGCCUGACAUUCAUCUUUACAGGAGACUCUUACUUCAGUUUGACAUUACAUGAAAACACAGAUGUUCCUCCUCUCUUAACACCUCUUAUGAAAAACACCAGAUCAGGUUAAAGCUUCACACAGAACAGUCUUUUUCUAAAAACUUAGAAAACUAAAAAAAUUCAGAGUCUUUCACUGUCUUGAUUUGAAAUGCAGUGACCUUGGUUUGAUAAGCAGCACUUUGCUGGGCUAAGUAGGGAUUACUACGGCGUCUCAUAGUCUUUGUUCAAGUUGUAUAGCAGCUGCUUCACAAUCUCAACCCAGCUAAGCAAGUAUUUGCACUGGAAAACAUUUAGCAAGCAGUAUUUGGCCAGCUGGAGUUAGAAGAAUGAUGAUAUUUCACAAUUAUUAUUAGCAGCACGUAGUUUUAUUUGAAUUCUAUUUCAAGAGAUAAAAUUAGGUUUAAUGUGAGGAAAGUUUUCAUUUUCUCCAUAAGCAACUUGCUCUAUCUGCUUGUAACAUGAAGAUUCUGUUUAAAAACAUCAAGACUAUAUUUUUGCUCACUGAGUAGCUCAUAACUGCUAUAUAGGAACAGUAGAAUUCCAUGCUGUUCUGCAGAUAUCUGUGUAAGGUUUAUAAAUUAUUCUUAUAAAAUUUCUUUUACACUAUUCUAACAGAUUAUCUAGGGUAAAUUUUAAAACAAUUUACCACUUAAUUAAUAGGCACUCCUGACACUGAAAAUCUAAAGCCCAUCCAGUAUAUGAAAUAUUGCCUUUUACUUUGCCUCCUAGUACUUGACAAAAUGCACAAAUACUCAGCUCUGAAAUCCAGCAAAACUUUCUUUGCUUGUUGAACAACAACAGCAGUAGUUAUGCAACAGAGAGCAUCACCCCAGCAGAUUGUUAAAUCUGCUUGCUAAUUAUACCUUAAGUGUUGAUCAAUGCUGGAACUGAAUUAAUGCAUUACAAAUACAUGACAUGUGUCUUAAGCUACAAAUAAGUGUACCGUCUUCUGAAUAAUGAAGUGAAAAUUAGAUUUAACCACAGUUGAACUGGGUAAUUAUAUAUUAAAAUAAUAGCUUAUGCUACUAAAGCCUGAGUGCUUGUAAAGCUUGUAUGAGCUUAUCAAGUCAUAAAAAAAUAGAGUAACUGCAAUUUAUAUUACUCUUUUAGAAUCUUGCACAUACUAUUGUAGCUCAACUCUCCUAAUGUGUAAGUAUCUGAUUUUUAACUGUGAUCCAAUAUUUCCUACCCUUGAAAAGGUCAUCUUUAAGUGUAUUCAUAUAGCAGGCCAAGAAAAGAGAAGAAAAAAAAUGUAAGAAUUUGCAUUGCAAUUAGCAUUACGAAUAUAAUUCACAGAUUAAAAAAAAGUAAGAAAAUACUCCAGACCCACUUCUACCCUCACUUGUUUUGGGGUUGUUCCCCUGCAUUAUGAAGAUCCUUUCAAAUGCUAAUUAUUCAUAAGGUAUUGUACUGGGAAGAGAAUACUGUCUACACUUCUGACUUCGUAAGAUUUCGAGAGAAUCCACAUUUCUGAAUCUCUGCUUGAGAUAAACAGAAACUCUCGAGGUUCCUAUGAACUCUGAUGGUGGCUGGAUCUAAUUCAUACCAUGCAUGGUACCAAUGGCACAUAGUACUCUGACAGCUUUUGGGAUAACCUGGCCAAUCAACCUCAUCUGUUCUUUUCAAGCAAAAUAACUCAGAAAAGUUAUUGCAUGAGACAAUUUAAACCAGUAAUCAAAUAUUAAGACAAAACAUAUCCUGAUAUGCGUAAUUAAAAAAAAAGACAACUUACAAAUUUUUACCAUAGGUCUUUUUUCUGAGACAGAAGCAAGAGGAUGUGAAUGUUAUGCACCACACUAUGGAUAAUCUCAGAGCAAAAGCAUGCAGCCACUGACAGCAUUGGUUAUAUAUCACCUGCCCUUUUUGGGGCAAAAACCCUGAAUGCUUUGCUAUUUCCAACAUCUCCUACCAGGGAAUGGAAACUAAAAACAAGGACCCUAACAGAUGGCAUCUGGAGACAGAACAGCCAGCCUUAUGGUAUGUGUCAGAAUCAUGAUUUUUAUCAAGCUUUGACUUUUAAGAUAAAAUUCUUAAGAGCAGAGAAAAUUUUCUUCUUAAGUAGCAGUCAACAAGUUUCAGGAAAGAGCAUACUGAAUCUUUUCUAAUACCAUCUGUUAAUACCAGAUGAACAUGCAAGUACUGUGUUUAUGCUGGCAAUCAUUAGUAUGUUUGUUCAGUUGUAUCUUGAUAAACACCACAAAUUGGUUAGCAGACAGAAAAUCUGCAGAGUAAGGAAGGAGUUGGUCUAGCUAGGCUGAUUAAGAAAACCCAUAAUAGAGGCAAUUUUUUGUACCAUUGCCUUUUUUUACUGUUUAAGGCAAAGAAAUAGAAGACCAAACAUGAUUGGAAACUGGAGAAAAAAAUCCCAAGCCAGGGUGUAGAAAAAAUGCAAAACACAUAAACAUCUUCUUGUGAUUCACUGGAAGACAUGUCUCCUCUAGAACAACAUGCAACUGUUUCAUAUCAAAGACAGUUGCUCAUUUGAUCUUUCACCAUGAAUUCUAUCAGUUAUAAGGUAACAUAGAGCAUCCCCUCCUGAUGACCAACUGGAACUUGUAACAGCAUCUGUCUCAAAUUUAAUGAAUACAACACACUUGGCUAGUACAAAAAACUAACACUUCAGCGCAGUUCAAUAUGGCUAAUAGCAGAGAAAGAAUCCAUGCUUUUUGGAAUAAUUUUGUAGCUAUUAAAUCUUGAUAUAAGGAAGUUACAUUCAUUAUUUUUGUUAGAUAAGGUUAGCGUAAAUGGCUUUAAAGUUUAUUACUACUAUGGCUUUUAUUGCAAACACUCAGUCCUUUACAGCUCCAGCUACCUCCAUUUGUGAAAAAUUAGGUAUGAUAUUUGGGUGCCAAGUAUUAACUAAUUAUAAAAGAUUGUAGUGUGAGAAAAAUCACUGUCAUCCCUAACCAUCAAUAUAAAAUGGCUAAUUUCACCAUGCUAUGUACCUCCAAAUUACCCAGAAUUUUAUUACAUGUCCUCAGGAUAGAACGAACGCAAUUCAUUUAAUCAUCCUGAUUUAAAGGAAAGAUGAACUUUCAUGAUCUGAUUAUAAAACCAACAGACCUCAUGAGAAUCAACAAGUUUGACUCAGUAUUUUCAAUCUGUGGCACUGCAACAUUUCAUUAGAAUGCAAAACCACAUGCUUGCAUCCUUUCACUUAGCCAAAAGGAAACAGUCAAGCUGGCAUUUUUCAGUUCAUCAUUCCAAGACGCUUAGUACAGCGGGUAAGAAAUGAAAUUACAUUAUACCAGUCAUUAUCCAUACCCAAAAUGUUUUUAUUUCUCAUAUCCCAGCAUUACUGAAAUCCCUUUCAGCCUUAGAAAGCCUUGAAGUCCUACACAGUUCUCUUCAGUACCAUCACCAUUAGAUGAUCACAGUGCAACUGUCCUGCCAUCAGCUUUGCAAUGUAAAUGUGUGCACUGGAACAUCACAGUCUUCACAUCUAAAUAAACAUUGAAGAGAUUGGAGUUUUUUGUUGCCUUUUUGAACCAAGGGAGGGAUGGGGAACCCAACAACCUAACUUCAUGCUCAGAUGUCAAGUUCUUAGGUGAUACAUGAAUUCCACAAAUUAAAGGAAUUUGGGUUGGUUACAAUUCCCUGUACAAGCAUAUAAUUAAUAAAAUGGGAAUAAACCUUGCUAUACAAUUUGUGCCAGCACUUGCUCUAAUUUCCCAGACAGCCACAGCCUCAUUACCUCCAGAUUUGUGCAUCUCAUUAUGAUGCUGACACUCACACUUGUGUGAUUAGCACUGAAAUUACAGAUUCAUCCUGAUCUAGUGUGGCCUUCAUUGCUGUUAAUUAGGCAGCGAAAUGUGGAAACUGUUACGGCAUUUUAAUUACCUGAAUGAUGCAAUGAGAUUUGUACGCUUAAAAAAAAGUAAUAAAUCUUUUCCUAGAAACAGUUUCUGGUUCUGAUGA